AAAUCAGGUGAUCCGUGCUGCCCUCACAGGCCGACUUGGCAGCUGCUGGAGGAGUCUGAUAGGUGCCAGCUGGUCAUACCCUGUGGUCCAUGCUGUACUUUGGUGUUCUGGUGGGGAGGGCUCCUUCUGAUGGAGCUGAAAGAUUUCUGUUCAGUGUGUGCAAGAUUUCCUUAAGCUCAUCGGAACAUGCGCCGGGACCAACUUACCUCAAGAAGCACCAGUUCUGAUUUCUGCCUCAGACUGCUGCCCAGGGAAGCCCUUAUACCUUCAGCCCAAGCACAGCCC